UGCAAAAAACACACUUGAAAGCUUUCCGUAUUGAGCAGCGAAUAGCAAAGAGAAAUCAUCCUAAACAGAUCUGUUCCAAUGAUGAUAUUUAAUAGCCCAAAGUGAUAUCAGGAAGAACAUAGGACAUUCUCCCCUUUUUUGAGAGCCCUGGAAUUCUUGCUCCAGUCAGUAGUUUGCGUUCUUCUCAUGGACCUUUCUGAUCUCCACAGUUCUAUGCUCUGGCACAGGUUUAUCUGCACCAACUUCUCACAUGCUGUCUCCUCACCUGCAUUAAUUGGAACGCAGCCUAGAUCCUGACGGACAGGAUUCAUUCCCUCAUACAGGCGAGCUGAGAUACAUUGUCGUAAUUCGUGCAGAUGUGGAGCCCCUUCGUGAAUCUCUCUGGGUUUAAGGCUUCAGCUGUGUCCUAUGGCCACAAAUGGAUAAACUUAGGAAUAUUGAUUACUGUUUGUCCUUACGCAGCAGAUGACUCCAGCGUAGUUCCUGCACUGCCGGUUCCAGGAUGACCUGAGGUGUACGUUGUUCACAGAAAAUAGCAUCUCCUACCUGUAUUGUCCUCAGAGGCAAUUGGAAUUCAGUGCAAGCUUAGAUUCUCACAAAACCUGUCUGCAUUUGGGUGUAGUCAUCUCUAGAAAGAGCAAACAGACUUCUUAAUGUGACCCAAGAGAUAUUCCCAGAAGAACAGAGUAAGUGGAGAAGGCAGGUGUCCGUGCAGCAACCGAUGCCCCUGAGCAGCUUCCAAAGCUCAGGUCCCAGGAGGAGUUUGCUGCUUUCCCUCAGAGCUCUUUCCAACCAGGAUUGUGGCACCUGCAUUUAUCCUCUGUUAUGGCUCCUUGUAUUGCAGAGCAGCACCAGCCCAGGAAGCCAACAAGUGCUGGGCUGCUUUUUCUAAACUCUCAUUUUACCCUGUUGUUUCUUCGUUGUCUUCUUUGUAAGGCAGUGAAUUAAAUAUUUACAAAAGUAAUUACAGAUCCUGCAGUCAAUAGCAAGAGGAAAAGGCAGAACAUAAAGCUGAAUGUAAUCAGAGUUGAGUGGCUUUGUGCUGAGCUGUGGGUUUGUUUGGAGGCUUUCACAGUGUCCAAAGCAGCGUGCCAGGCUGCAGCCACCCAAGCCACGUGUGGUCAGAAGCUGUCUCCUUGUCCCCUUAGAAAAUGGGAAAGAGCUGGAUUAACUGCCUCCUCACAUCCUCUUUCUUCCACGUGCUGGUGCCCACAGCAGCAAUGUGGUUCUCCUCAGUCUUACAGGGUUGUCCUCAGUCCUGGGGAUCUGUGAUGUGGUGCUGCUUCUCAGCUUCUGCAGUAAUUCCUAAUGUUUACCAGGAUCUGCCUGCAGGAGGGCUGGGAGGGGCUCUUCCUCAGGGAGUGCAGGGACGGGACAAGGGGAAUGGUUUGUUAGUCAAAGAGGGGAGAUUGAGAUGAGAUCUUAGGAAGAAACGUUUUCUGUGAGGGUGGGGAGGCCCUGGCCCAGGUUGCCCAGAGCAGUGGUGGCUGCCCCAUCCCUGGAGGGGUUCCAGGCCGGGUUGGAUGAGGCUUGGAGCCCCUGAUCCAGUGGGAGGUGUCCCUGCCCAUGGCAGGGGGUGGGACUGGAUGGGCUUUGAGGUCCCUUCCAACCCAAACCAUUCUAUGAUCACAGCUAGGACUGCACUGAGACUGAAAUCAGAGAGGCAGAGAGAACUACUCUCUGAAGGUGAUUUAAAAGCUGAAGGGACAGGGUGGAACUGUGGGCCAAAAGCGAGUGGGCGGAGUAGCAGAUGGAUGUCCAGGCUGUGGCUCAGCUGGCACUGCAUCUUGGGCAGCCUUCUGUGUUUGUGUUGCUUCUGAUUUAUGUUUUUCUGUAGAUGGACAAGGACAUGAGAAGUGGCAUAGAAGAAAGUGAUAAGGAUGAAGAAAGAGAAAAGAUAAGGGAAAAGGAGAAAAACGGGGUCACAUAUUUCAGCAACGUCACAAGCAACGAUUGUAUCCAGAGGAACGGGUCUGAGCCCCUGAAGAACAGAACUCAUCUCACUAAUUGCCACGUCAAGGAAAGAUAGCUGCUGACGUGCGUCUGAUCUGGUCUGGAACGAGUCCAGGGCACCGUCUUUAGAAACAGUUUUGUUUGUUGUGUAGGUAAAACGGAGUGCAAUUACAGUAUCUUAGCAGAAUUCCUGCUUCCUCUAAACCAAAUUGUUUAUGGUCAGUGAUGCUUGAAGGGAGAUUUUGGUCUUUCUUCAAUAAAAGCUUACUGUAGGUUGUAGCCUUGAAGCAGAUAGAAAGGGAUCAAAGUUGUUUCACUUGUAUUAGGUUGUGCCAUAGUCGAUAAAUGUGUUAAUCUUGAAAAAUACUUUUUUUUUUUUAAAGGAAAAAAGGUGGAUAAACCCUAGCAAUGUCAAAUCUCACCCACCUGAUGUUGUUUGUAGGAAUCUGGUCAGUCUCGGUCAGCCUCUGGGGGCCCUGGCCUGUUGUCAGUAACAAUGCCACUAAGGAGGAGGUGUGAAACUCAAUACGGGGACAGGUCUUUUGAGAAGACAGGUGCCCUUGGGCCACUCAGGAAAUCAAAACUGAGCGUAGCGGAAUGAAAGCUUUGAAAAGACAUAGGAAAAACUUUCUUCUCAAAGGAGAUGCUGCUGUGUGCCAUGUAAGCGGUUCUGUAAGGGAAUGGAUCUCAGGCCCUUCUCUUGUCAGUGUUAUUGCCACAGAGGUGGGAGCUCCAAAGCCCAAACUGCAGAACACCCACCCAAAUUGUAGAUGGAAGACCUGGAAAAUCCAAGCAGUUGUGUCUCAGCUGUCAGGUCAUCCUUUAAACCUGACUUGGAAGGAAACGCAGUUGGAAGAAGAGAGGUGACAAAACACUACAUAAUCUAGAAGCCAACACUGAGUGAGUGCUCAUGUUUCCACCCAAUGUGAUUGGCACAACGUGAAAUGUUUAUAGGGUCAGCUUGUGGCAAGAAGCAACACAUAUGCCCUGUUCUCAGAGGAGAAGGGAUCCAGAGAAGAUCUGCUGAACCUUAUGGAAUAAUGCUUUAACGUGGCCUUUAACUCCAGGGCCGUUGCCCAGGUGUGUCAAGGAGAGCAAGUUUAAAGCAGUAGUCCAUGAGGUGAUGACGCAGUUGGGAUUCAAUUGGUUUGGUGUCCUGUCUCUUAUAUCCGGUGUAGUCUUAGACUUUGGAUUCUACAAUCCCUUGAAAGAGUUAAAUGAAUAUGAUGUGAAUUUCUCUUUUAAAAAUCAAUUAAUCCAUGAAACCAAAGGUUUAGCAGAUUCACUGUAGUGAGCACAGAGACUCAGGCUGUUGAGGCCAUGCAGGCACUUCCCAGUAUGUGCCCAGUAAGGGCCGGUGCUAACUGGGGGACAUGGACCAAGGAAGUGCCUGAUUUGAGGACGUGGUACACAUGUUUAAAAUUAAAAGGCAAGUGACAGCAUAGAAGGACAAGAGGGGGGUUGAGCAAUGCAUCUGAGCUUUGAUCUCAGCUUAUAUGUGCUCAGCUUGGCUUUGGUCUGGGACCUCUAACUUGGAGGGAAGGCAGCUCUGAAGGAUCGGUGGGCUCUUACCUGUUUGAUCCCCUGUUGAGAGGGACAGUGAGCUUUAAACUUAAGGAAAUGCCAAGCAGGAUGAAGACUGUGCACCUUUCCCUGAGCUGUGAUACUGUUGUGCAUCACUUCUGUCUCUGUGCCCUGGCAGGCAGCCAAUCCCCUGGCUCAGCACCCCAAAAGCAGCCCCAGCUCACCCGUCAGAGGCUGCAAACAAGGUUCCCUCCAGAGACGCCAGUGCACUCGUCCCCACAGCCCUGAUCCUAGGAGAGCAGGAGACGCCGAGCUCUCAGGUGGGCACCCCUCGGGCACAUCUCCAGGCUGUCCCGCAGCAGCAGGCAGUGUCCUCAGCCCUGGGCUCGCUACAGGAAAGGCGGCUGAGGUUUCCCGCACCCCAGCUCUAUGAGGAUGCAUCCGGCUGUCAGGCAGCACUGCUCAGCACCCAGGCCCGUGUGGCAGAGCUGGAAAGCCAGGUCCGGACACUGAAGCUGGAGCAGGCGCAGCACAGACUGUUGCUGGAGAGUCUCCAGCAGCGGCACCGCGAGGACCUAGAACUCCUCGAGAGUGCCCACAGGAGCCGGGUGAAGGUGAUGGAGGAGACCUACGGGCAGCGGGAGGAGCGGCUGCGGCAGGAGAAGGAGCAGCUGGUGGCUCAGCUGCUAUCGCAGAGCCGGGAUGCAGAGCAGGCACGAGCGGAACUAGUGGCACAGCACCAGCAACGCCUCGCCACGCUGGAGCAGCAGAGCGCACUGGAGCUGGAGCGGCUGCGGGAACUGCAGAGGGUUUCUGUCCAAGAGAUGCACAAAGACCAUGAAGAGCAGCUCCAGCGGCUGAAGCAGCUGAAAGAUCAGGAGAUCGACACAGUGACUAGUGCUGCUUCGCACGCCAGGUCUCUGAAUGGCGUCACUGAGCAGAUGGAGAAGUUCUCCAGUGACGUGCACAACCUUUUGCACAAGGUGGAGGCCAUGCACCACAGUACCUCCCAGGAGCUGGCCCUGGGGGCACAACAUCGCGACCAGCAGCUCAAGGUGCUCCAGGACUGGAUGUCACAGCAGCAGAGGGACAUGGAGGAGGAGCGGAGCCGGCUGCAGGAGGUGAUUGCCAGAAUGGAGACCAGGCUGGUUGGCAAACAUGAAUUAAUUGGGCAUAAAAGUUGCAGUGAAGAUCCUCAGUCGACAGAAGAUUCACAGCCUUGAUGUUGUAGGAAAAAUCCUCAGGGCGAUUCAGAGCCUGAAACUCUUCAGGCGCCCUCAUAUAAUGAAACUGUACCAGGUCAUCAGUACUCUAACUGACAUUUUCAUGGUGGUGGAAUACGUUUCAGGAGGAGAACUGCUUGAUUAUAUAUGUAAAAAUGGAAGGGUAAGAAGUAGUCAAACUCUACAAAUUAAUGACUUGCAUUCUGUUAUUGCUUUUGUAAUGUUCCUGUGACACUUGAAACUGAGGGACAGACGGGUUCUUUUGGGGGAUCCUUAGCAGAAUUAUAUAAAUAAAGCCUUAUUUUUUUUUUUAACAGGGUAUCAUGGUUAGUAUAGCACAGAAUUUCUGCAAACAGAAUCAAUGCAGUAUAAUUUACAAGUAGCAUAAUACAGAAUUUAUAAUAAAACUUAACAUUUGAUUUCUAAUCGCCUGGACCAUCUGCAGAUUGUGUCACAUCUUAAUACAUGGUUUACUAUAUCAAUAUAACAAUCGCAGUCUGGACUUAAUCCUGUGAAACAAUGAGUCACUCACUCGAUCCUGGAGGAAGGAGACAAUGGUGGUGACGUCCCUGGCCUUGGGAGGUUUCGGGUCUGGCUGUCUAGCAGCAAUCCUGGUCCAGGUUCCCCACUUCAGACUUGAUUUUAUGGCCAGUGCUCUCUGUGCUGUUACAUUUCCCUGUUCUGUGACGGGGUCAUCACCACCACCUGGUUGGCUGUGUACCUGGGGCCUUCGAGGCUGCUGAGGAAGGGGGUAAUGAGUCUGGCACGCAGGAACCUUGAGGCUGGUUGGGAAGGGAAAAAGAAAUCUGUUUGGUUGGUUUACUUGGUUCGCAGGACCUUCACAGCCUGAUAACGUGGGAAAGGGAAGAAAUACAUGCCUCAGUCACAGAAUGACCGUUUGCCUCAUGAAAUGGUAUGAGCUGUGCUGACCACAUUACCAGGCACCAGGAGCAGGCGGUACUGUCACAUUCAGUUGUAUCGAGGUUUUUUUGUAUGGAUUCAGUGUUAACUUUUGAGCUGGCAAUUAAAAUAUUCUUUUAAGACUGUAAGUUUUUGUGUAAGUAAAAAGGGCUGUAUGUUAAUACAUUUCAGAUCUUUAUGUAUGACUUCAUCACAGCAUUUUUUCUCUCUACUGAUACUGAUAAGUUAAUUUGCCAUUACUGGGUACAAAUUGGAGGAAUAUGUAUCCAUCUGAAGACUGUUUCUUCAGUAUAACCCAUUACUGGAAAGCUACCAUUGUGCCCUUACUAUCCUCUUCUACUGGCAGAACAGUUUAUGUGGAAGCUCUGAAGUCGCUUUUGACAGACGGUUUAGAUAGCCAGGAUACUUUUAGUUAGUUAGAACAAACCUUGACAUGGGUCGGGCGUGUGUGUAGGAAAUGCCCAGAUAGAUCUGCUGUUUGUGGCUAGCUGCUAACAGCUUAAGCAGCAUCUAAAAUUUGUCGCUUCUGUGCUGCAUGUCAGCAGCAGCUUUUGUCAACUUAACUCUUAUGGUAUGGUUAAAUAUCAAAAUUCAUUGAUAUUUCACUUAGAUAAAGUUAAUGGUUGGGUGCUAAUGUUUCUAAUUACCGAGUAUGUAACAUCUGCCUAAAGCAUUUCAAAAGCAUGAUUAAGAAAUGUCAAUGAAUUUCUGAGUUGGUGGGCAUGUUUUAUUUUGGUUAUUUUAGAGUUGUGGUACAAACAAAAUUAUGUAAACUCUGAAGCUUUCUGCUACAGGUUCUGAUCAUCUGCUCUAUGAAGUGUCAAAACUAAAAGUGAUAAACUUAGACCACCAAAAAUUUCCUUUGGUUCACAUAAAUGAAAAACCACUUGUCUUCCAUGGUCUGAUAAUUGUUUAAAAUGUUUGUCUGCCUUAGCUUGAUUGGAAUGCAGGUAGACGUGUGUUCCAGCAAAUCCUUUCUGGCAUGGCUUGCUGUCGCAGGCAUACGGUGGUAUGCAGAGAUCCGAAGGCUGAAAAUGUGCUGCUUGAUGCACACAUGAAUGCCAAGAGAGCUG